rnacentral:rRNA from 1 species
GACGAACGCUGGCGGCGUGCCUAAUACAUGCAAGUAGAACGCUGAAGAGAGGAGCUUGCUCUUCUUGGAUGAGUUGCGAACGGGUGAGUAACGCGUAGGUAACCUGCCUUGUAGCGGGGGAUAACUAUUGGAAACGAUAGCUAAUACCGCAUAACAAUGGAUGACACAUGUCAUUUAUUUGAAAGGGGCAAUUGUUCCACUACAAGAUGGACCUGCGUUGUAUUAGCUAGUAGGUGAGGUAAUGGCUCACCUAGGCGACGAUACAUAGCCGACCUGAGAGGGUGAUAGGCCACACUGGGACUGAGACACGGCCCAGACUCCUACGGGAGGCAGCAGUAGGGAAUCUUCGGCAAGGGGGGCAACCCUGACCGAGCAACGCCGCGUGAGUGAAGAAGGUUUUCGGAUCGUAAAGCUCUGUUGUAAGUCAAGAACGGGUGUGAGAGUGGAAAGUUCACACUGUGACGGUAGCUUACCAGAAAGGGACGGCUAACUACGUG